GAUGAACGCUGGCGGCGUGCUUAACACAUGCAAGUCGAACGAAGCAUUUGCGACAGAUUUUUUCGGAAUGAAGUUGCUUAUGACUGAGUGGCGGACGGGUGAGUAACGCGUGGGUAACCUGCCUUGUACUGGGGGAUAGCAGCUGGAAACGGCUGGUAAUACCGCAUAAGCGCACAAUGUUGCAUGACAUGGUGUGAAAAACUCCGGUGGUAUAAGAUGGACCCGCGUCUGAUUAGCUAGUUGGUGAGGUAACAGCCCACCAAGGCGACGAUCAGUAGCCGACCUGAGAGGGUGACCGGCCACAUUGGGACUGAGACACGGCCCAGACUCCUACGGGAGGCAGCAGUGGGGAAUAUUGCACAAUGGAGGAAACUCUGAUGCAGCGACGCCGCGUGAGUGAAGAAGUAAUUCGUUAUGUAAAGCUCUAUCAGCAGGGAAGAUAGUGACGGUACCUGACUAAGAAGCUCCGGCUAAAUACGUG
rnacentral:rRNA from 1 species